ensembl:lncRNA
UUGGUUUGAAAUCUGUGUUCACUCAUAACACUGGGGAGGUUUGCUGCUGGUUCAGACUGGUGAUAAUGUUAUGUGAACACUGCUGGGAGGUGGAGUGGAUUUUGGGGUUUCCACUCUGUUAGACCCAGAUCCAGCAGGUUUCCUAUGCCCUGCAGGUGUCGGGUGAAUUCCAGUUCAGUCUCCAUUUCUCCCAACUGCGGCUGAAACAAUCAGUCUGAAACAAUGAGUCAAAGCUCAUGGAGUUUCCACUGCGGUCUAUGGGAAAAACCCUUAGAAAGGGGUUAUUUCUGUCUCGGUGGUUGAGUGCUUUCACUUAAGUACAGAACCAUAAGGAUACCAGAAAAUAGUAAAGUUCUGCUCUGGCUCUCGUUUGGAGUUUGACUAAUUUUACAGCCAGGCUCCAAGGAGACUGCAUCUGUGUGCUGCUGUCUGGAAGGAUUCUGACGUUGCACGAUGCUCAGCUAGUUUCUUAUAUGGAGAUGAAGAAGAAUGACUUGGGAGUGCCUGUAGAGGGUGUAAUUUUACCCAUCCCUUGAAUAAUAUAUCAGAGAGCAGAGGUGAACCUCCUCUUCUAGCAGCAGCACUGUUUUAGGUAGGUAACCAUCUUAAAGUCACUGGGUCAGGAGGGUAAGAAAUACAAGGAUAAGGGAGCAGACUUCAAGAGAUGUGAGGCUGUGGAGGGAAGGUUGAGUAAAGCCAUGGGUUUGCAGUUAGGUGCUGAUUUGCAUGUCUGCUUCAUGCUGAUGUACAGUGUAAUUUUGCUUCUGUGCUGUUUUGGGGAUAAAAAUGUUCCUUUGAAGUCUUCUGACUUGACUUCUGAGCUACUCAAAAAAAAAAAAAACCAACUCUAAGGAGGUUUCUGUUCAGUGUUUAGAGCCCUAGUUAAAUCAGCCAAAUACUUUCUUCAAGGGACUAGAGGGAUUAUAUAGUGCCUCUCUAUCAGGUCCAGAAUUACAGAAGUUACACAGUGCUGUUUUGGCUAAUGGACUCCCCGCACCCCCCCCCCCCCAUCAUGAGAAUAUUCUCUGCUUUGUACUUCAUGUUUCCACCUGUGACUGGGAUGAGAUUUCCACUAUUGAUCUCCUAAAUUGUGCUGGGAUUGUACUGCCCUGUGGUGCUGCUGUAUUCCCCUGCUUCUCCUUGGUAGGUGCCAUCAAUGACAUCCUUGUCAGCCAGAUAUGUGUACUGACUGCUACACUUCCUAAAAUGCUGUUGACUUUGCUGAUGGUUCAAAGUGUGGGGAAGUUUUAUAGGCUUCAGAUCUGGAUGCUUAUCAAAGCCUGCCUGCUCUCCUGCAGUACAAGAAGACCUGUACGUGGUAAGCUGCAUUUCAGCUCUCCCCAGUCCCUCCUUGCUCUGUUAAUCUAGCAAGGUUGUUUUUCUUGAACUUGAUUUGUUUGUCAAAUGGAGCAUCAUGCAGUGCCUGGAGCCAGGAUGAAACUCUUGGAACUCAGUCGUUGCAUGCUGCUGCUUCAGGAAGCUCCAUUUACUUGGGAGGAGUUAUUCUGAAGUAAUAUUUCCUUUUCUGUUUAUUUUUCCUGACAGAUCUUCUGCUCCUCCCGUGCCCUGCCACAUUAAACCAUUUAUGUAGAAAGUAAGCAGUCUGGGUUUGUCCUUACGACUUCACUGGAAUCAGUUGCUUAUUCCUGUCAUAGUUCUGCCAGCAAGUGCUUCAACGAAAGAAACAACAAAGUACCCACUGCAGUUGCUACAUUUUACUGCCAAGUUGUAAAAGAAAUCACAUUCUCAUUUUAGGUAAAUGGUCAGAUAUAUGAAUGCUGAAAGCUCUCUACUGUCAUCCUGCGAUGUGCCGCAGCACCCAGAGGGAGGAGUGAGCCUGGAGACCACCUCUUUCACAGCAGUGAGCUCCUGGUGCCACAGCGAUGGCUCACUGACUUCCAUGGGCUGCAAAGAGAAGCAUUUCUCCCUCACUUCACCAGUGCUGUGUGAAAUGCCCUCUAAAUGCUAAUUUCAUUUCACUUCUACAACAGUAGAAAUAAAUACAGCACAAAUCUUCCUUCUCUGCAGUGCUUUUUUUCUUGACUGCUGUAUCUAAAUGUCCCUUCAAUCUAGUAUCUCUUAAUAGUUCAGUAAAGAAUUACUCAUGGGACUAUCCUUUUUUUUUUUUUUUUUUUGCCUUGAAGGCAGUCCCUAUUACUCCACAGUAUGGAAACCAACUGGGAAAGUAAUCUAUGCAAAUUACAUGUACUUUUCGGGUUGAAUCGCAUUCCCUUCGCUCAUGGUAAUGAGUCACUUGGCAUGAAGUGGACUUACAGUGAAUGGAGAGAGCAUAUAAGGGCGCUGCUUCUCAAGAAUUACUUCUACUUGCUGAAUCUCAUUUAGGCCUGGAACCAUGAGGGGUGAGGCUCUGCU